GUGGCGGAGGAGGAGAAUAGACUGGUGGUGGCGGCGGAGGUGGAGGUGGAGGAGGGGGAGAGUAGACUGGUGGCGGCGGAGGUGGAGGUGGAGGAGGGGGAGAGUAGACUGGUGGUGGUGGAGGCGGAGGUGGAGGUGGAGGUGGAGAAUAAACUGGUGGUGGUGGAGGAGGCGGCGGCGGUGGUGGUGGAGGUGGAGAGUAGACUGGUGGAGGAGGCGGCGGCGGAGGAGGAGAGUAGACUGGUGGUGGAGGAGGCGGCGGUGGUGGUGGUGGGGGAGGAGAGUAGACAGGGGGCGGCGGUGGAGGAGAGUAUACAGGAGGUGACGGCGGAGGAUAGUAGACAGGAGGUGACGGCGGAGGAGAGUAGACAGUUGGAG
rnacentral:lncRNA from 1 species